CUUUUCAGUGGCUGGUAGAGUCUGAAUAACUCAUAAAUUUUGUGUUGUCUAUCAGCUUCAUCUCUGGUUUCAUAGAGAGUGGAGUUAAAUAACAGCACUAAAUCU